GAAAGUAAUGUUGCAAACAGGCCAGCAAACACCCUAACUGAAUAAGAACACUUCCUGGGAGGAUCUUAAGAGGUCUGGGCAGAUGUUUCUACACCACUACUGUUACUGGCAAUUACAAACUUUGCAGCCAUCUCCAGAAUGCUUUGCUUCAAAAUCAUUCCUCGUGUAUGUAAGCCUAUCAGACCCAGCAGCACUCCUACGCCUUUUACCACCACUAAGGUGUGCUUGGAAAUCAAGAGGUCUGUAGCUUAUGUGCUUCUGUUACUUGUAUGAGGGACUCUGUAGCAUGCUCCAGGCAAACAAACCCAGGUGUGGACUGUUGUUCAUUAGCUGUGUGGUACCGAAACUGUCAGUACCAUACAUUCAGUAUAAAGUGACUGAUGUUAGCUAUACUCUCUCAGUUUAGACUGAGCACAAGCUAGAUUCUUGAUAGUAUUAAUUUUGGAUAUGGAAGGGUGUUAAAAUUCAAGGUUGACGUUCAGGCAACAUCUCUUGCAAGAGAGUAUUUGGCAAUUCUUGCAAAAGCAGAACGAAUUAGCUCCAUAGUUUAUGAAAAGUCCCUAUUUCUUCCUUAUACUGUGCAGCAUGAGUUCCUCUUAGGUUGGAAUACUACUGUUUGUGAGCAAGGCAUAAGGGUUACUACACACUGAAGUACUGUGGGAUUUGAGAGCUCUCUGCUAUGCUGACCAUGCAAUUCUUAGAACUUGUCAGUCCUGAGGGUGAAGUUUUCAGCCUCUUCAGAUUCCACCUGCACAGCAGGCAGUGGCAGGUAAUUUUACCAAAGGGACAAUCCAAAAAUCUUCUUAGCUGCAGAUAGAGUUCCUCAGGCUCUGUCAUGGAUUCCUUUGCUUCUAUGUUGUUGAAUUAUCUGUCAGCAUGGAAUAAAUUUCCUUUUUUUGCUGGAUAGUCUCAGAUACAUUUUUUUUUUAACCUUUUGGUAGUGUUUUUCAGCUCUUGCUGAAGCCCUCUCUUUGCCCAGCAGUGAAUGGAAGCUAGAGCAUUGCUUCUUGUUAUUACUACACUGCAUAUAUUACGCUAAGGAUUAAUCCCUGUACAGGAGGAGAAUGAGAUGGGAAAGUCUACACAUUUUGGAUGCUGCAAAAGUUAUUUUGGACUGCAUUAUUAAUCUCCUAAAGCAAUUUGCCAUUCCUUUGUAUUACUUGUCUGCACUGAAGAUCAGAUAGCAUUUGGGCUUUAAGAUAAUGAGUUUUAGAGACAAGUCUGUAACAGAAUAGUAUUGUAAGAAAUAGAAAAUAAAACUGUCAGGAGAUAUUCUAGCUUUAGUGUUUGCACUGAAAAAAAUGCCAAUUAUCAGUGAUAAAAGGCUGACUAUUAUAACUUAGGUGGACUCAGUCCUAUCAGGUAGGUGCUCUGGAAACUUGGAUAUUGUUUGAGAACUAAUUAUGAUGAUGCUCCUUCAACACUGGCAACAACAGUACUGCCACAUCUUAUGUCUGUGCUACACCAUGUUCUCAUGUAAAAAUACCCAGUAGAGGUUUAAGCUAAUUACUUUGGUUACUAAUUGCAGGUGCAGGAGUAGUACUAAAAACAGGUGCAGGAGUAGAGACUGUACUACACUGCAGGGGUCAGUCUUAAGGCUAUAAAAAGGUAAGUGACUUAAGUCUUGGGGGUAAGCAGCAGCCUAAGCAGAUUAAUGUAGUAGUGCAAGCUCUUGAAUAGUGGCACAUCUGAAGUGACCUGAUUUAGAGAAGCUAGAACUGAGCUAGGGAGAUUAAGCAAAUUUUCCUACAUCAAUAAAUGCCAGUGCCAGUACGUGAUUUGCAGCCCUGCAUACUAUACUCAUCAUCUUGUUCUCUGUUGAUGGGACAUCCCUGCCUCUCUAAUAAUUUAUUUCUGUAUGCAAAAGACAUUCUGUGUUUCAGGGUGCUUGAAAUCCAGUCAGUUCUGGUCAGACUUCAAGUUGCUGAAGUAAAACUCCAGCUCUGAGCCACCCUAUAAUGUAUCAUAUCUAAAUUUUAAUGUUGUGGCUUUAAUGUAUGUGUAUUAUUAUGUACAACAUAUUAGCAGAGUUGUUUAACUGUAAGCAUCCCUUCUGCUGUUGGUGUACUCUUAGUGUGAAGAACACUAGGGACACCGGAGAUUACUUCAGAAGCCUUAAGAGCUUCCCAGCCAAGAGCAUUAAAGCUGAUGUGCCUUC
ensembl:lncRNA